rnacentral:rRNA from 1 species
GACGAACGCUGGCGGCGCGCCUAACACAUGCAAGUCGAACGAGCGAGAGAGAGCUUGCUUUCUCGAGCGAGUGGCGAACGGGUGAGUAACGCGUGAGGAACCUGCCUCAAAGAGGGGGACAACAGUUGGAAACGACUGCUAAUACCGCAUAAGCCCACGACCCGGCAUCGGGUAGAGGGAAAAGGAGCAAUCCGCUUUGAGAUGGCCCCGCGUCCGAUUGGCUAGUUGGGGGGGUAACGGCCCACAAAGGCGACGAUCGGUAGCCGGACUGAGAGGUUGAACGGCCACAUUGGGACUGAGACACGGCCCAGACUCCUACGGGAGGCAGGAGUGGGGAAUAUUGCACAAUGGGGGAAACCCUGAUGCAGCGACGCCGCGUGGAGGAAGAAGGUCUUCGGAUUGUAAACUCCUGUUGUUGAGGAAGAUAAUGACGGUACUCAACAAGGAAGUGACGGCUAACUACGUG